ACUUCAUACUGUUCAUUAAUGUCUCCAUGCUGCUGACCUAGAGAGCAGAAGAGAUAAUUAUUAGGUGUUUUCAGCACCAUUUCCCACUGAAAUUAGUUUGCCAUACCGGAAGCAGAAAACAAGCACUGCAAACCAGGAUUUCUGUCCUUAAUCACACUCAACCAUAAAGAGAGGCAGCAAAUGUGUAACUACAAAAGUGUUGCUUGUGCUGCUGGUGCCACUGCACGUCCCCUGCCUGAGGACAAGCUGUGGUAACAGGAUAGCCUGGCCACGUCAGGAGUCAUCCAGUUCAAAGGAAAAGCCUUAAGGAGAUGAAGAACUGGAGAGCAAAUAACAAUCAGAGAAGCUGUGAAGCAACAGAGUCUUGUGAGUCUGUCAGAACAUUUUAUAACAUUGAAGGCCAAACCCAGAUAAUCUGCAUCAGCAAGGCAACCACGUGGCAUGUCCUGGUAAAAGGAAAGAGAGGCUCCCUUUAAGCCCCUGAGUUGAAAACUGAAGGACUGGAAGAAUCUAAAUGAAGCUGCAGCAUGGGAUGAACACCUUCUCUCUUCCAUGGGCUAUCAAAGCAGGAGGCAGUCAAUGCUUUAGCAAGUGCCAAAGGCCGGAGGCUUCCUUAGCAGACUCAUUGGAAAUACUGAGGAUUGAAAAAGCAAGUGAACAAAGACACAAGAAGAAUUUGGUUUUGAACAGCCCAUAUGUAAUUUACACAAAUAGCAUUUAUGGACAAGUUAGAAUUGUCUGUUUGCAAGUAGAUAGUUUUGCUUUUUAUUUCUGGAAAAAAGUCAACAGUUGGCAAAAAUCAUUUGAUUAAUUCAUUCUUUAGACACAGUACCUUCAUUCCAGUGUUACUCCCAUAGCUUUCAAGUUAAACCACACAUCUUUCAUUUUCAUAUACAAUAUCUUAAGUGUUUUGCAUAUUUUUUGUUAAAAAAAUUACUAGUCUUUCAAAGCCACAUGUUAACAGCAUAUUCAAGUGUGUGUGCACUGACUCUAAUGAUUCUAGGAAAUAUUUCAGCCAAAAAAGAAGUAUUUUUCUGUUUACAUGGUGUUAUCCAAGUGAAGUUAUUGGGAUGACUCAGAUUUUUGUAUUAUUAUCUUUUGAGAGAGUUAUGGAUGUCAAUUCAAGGUGCUUGUACACUGGAAAACUGAGAGCAUAGAUUCAGACUGAGGUCACACAUAUGGGCACUUUGCUUAGAGGAAGAGCCAGCAAGAAGUUAUUAGCCAGCAGCAAGACUAUGCUGCGUAGGUGGACCACAGAACUUUCUCUGGGAGCAUUUUCUCAAGUUGCUUCAUUGGGAGUUACUUGGAGUUACAAAACCACAGUUUGCUCUAAUGUUUCAUACUUGUCAAAAAAGGCUAAUGAGGUGACUACUAUAGAAUCUUUCACUACUAUUCACCUAGUUCAAAAUAUGAUCUGCCUUAUUGAAUUAUUAAGGUGGUUCUAAGGGGUUCUGACUAAGUGACUGGAAACUCAGCAGUCAGUCUGGCUUUGUGUGAUCUGCUAGUCUUUUCCUCCACAGUCUGCCAUUCACACUCCUCUUUCAGCCCCUCAGGAGUGAAGAGAUGGUUGGCUGAACUUAGCAUCUUACAAGUGUGCUUAGGCACUGGAGCAUGCUUAUGUGAAUCUGACAUGGUGAGCUAGUGGAAAAAUGCAGCUGGUUUAGCAAUCACAACAAAAUAAUCUUUGAAGCCAAUCAUGCUGAUCCUCUAGGCUCCUGUUUCCAGAGGAUCCCAACUAGAGGGUGUGCAACAAAACCAAAGCACAUCUCCAUGCCAGGAUGCAAAGCAGAACAUCCUAAUAUGGGUCGGUACAUCCACCACCUCAUGACAGAGCUGGAGCUCUCACUGCUUUAAGGUGUGUACCCUUUUAUCUACCAAACAGCUACUCUGAUUAGACAUUCUACCUUGUGCUGUGAUCUUCAUUUACUUAAUAGUCUCCAGAUGUAUUUUCACAUUUUCCUUGAAGCAUUUGUGAGAAGGAAGGGGUAAUAUAACCAACUUUAAAGGCAAAAUUUGGAGUGAAACAUUAUGAAGAAAAUUUUAUUUUUCAGAUCUGACGGGUAAGACAGACUAUCUUACCUUAAACAGACACUCACUCUUGUUAAAACCUGUGUAGCACACCAUUACCAAACCUUGGCAUGGAUAAUUAGGGAAGAGCUACUCCAAACACAUGAAUUCAGCUGAAAUAAUGUCCUGAGAUCAUUUAACUACAUUUCUAUAUGAAACUAAGCACAUCUCUUAGUCUCUUCAGGGCUUGGGAUAGAAGUCCAACUUUAGAUUUUUCAUUUUUCUCCCAUUAACAGUGGCUAAGCCAGAAGGCACAUAGACUUACAUUCUGAAAUUCACCUGACAAUACUGGCAGCUCAAGACUAAACAUGAUUCUGCUUGAAAGCUGAUGAGCUUCUACACUUCUUUACUCAGAUUUGUGUAAGAUAGGAAAAGAUAUUUACCUCAAGGCUCAGUAUUCACUAAGAAUAAAAAAAAUGGAAUAGGAGUUGCCAUUUAUCAGAAAAUUAAAUUCUUUCUUCCAGCUGAUGGGUUGACAAUAAUCAUGGAUUCUUCUUUCUUGUUUUCAUAUUGCAUAAGAUUCUUCUUUUUUCACAUUAUAUAGAGGCUUAACUUUCUCUGUAUUUUCAAAUACUUUGAGGACUCUCUUGAAAAGAGAGGUGGCAUUUAUUAUGAAAUAAUGUACAUAAAUAGAGGGGCUGGGAAGAGCUGAUCAUGACUUAAAAGUAGAUCUCAUGGUACCGUGGAAAGGCCUGGUUCUGCAAUUGGAAGAGGACUCCUCUGUUUCCUGUUUAAGUCCAGGUAUACUUCCUAUCCAUGUAUGCUCCCUGUGGUCUGAGGCCUCCAGGGUGCUGCUUUAAGCAAGAAGCCAAACAAAGUGACCUGCAACACCCCUUCUGACCACCAGCUCUGCGACCUUGUCUCUCAUUUCUAUCAUAUUAUUCCUUACCCUCUUCACCCCACCCAAGCUUCUAUGGCAGAUAUUUAAUUUUUAAAUUGUCCUAGAGCAAUUUCCUUUGUCUGCUUGCAACUUUUAUCAUCUUGCAACUAAUAUCAUCACACAUGUCCAGUGUGCCAGUAUGUCAUAAACUGGCUGCUCAGCAAGAAUAGCAGCAGUGAUCUGCACUAAGGUUCUGUUCAUGAGAGAAGACCAGAAGGCAUACACAGGAAAGAAAUUUAAGAGGCCAAAAAAAGAGGUCUGCUAUAAUUCAUGAGGGAUCUCGUGCAGUCCACCUGCUCUUCCUAGCAGAAGCCUAAGGAAUGAUAUGACAACAGCCAGCCAACAUUAAGACAUCAUGAAGUAACUAAGGUCAAGAGGCAUUUAUGAUGACAUCUGUUAUUAUGAGAAACUGUCUAACUAGAAUAAUCUCACUUAGAUAAGAGUGUCUAUGCCAUGAAAACUGAUCUGACAGCAAUCCCAGUUACUGUCAAGAAUGUCACCAUAAGCCUGUGCAAUAAAAAAUGUAACUUAGCAGUCACUGUCCUCCCUGCUCCAGAGGUGACCAGUGUAAAUCAAGAGCUUACUGUAUCACAGAUGAGCUGAGUGACUUUAAUGAGAAAUCUCGUUCUUAUGGAUUACCGUUCCCCUGCCACAUCUUGUCAGCAAUUCUUCAGAAAAUUAUUCUACCAUUCCCAAUUGCAAGGAAACAGAUGGCACAUGGAGGGAACCUCUCUGAUGUGUAAUGUCUUGGAAAAACAAGAAUAAAUAAAUUAAAGACCAGAGGCCAACACUAAAAUUGUCUUCUAUCAAAAUACAGCUUAACUCAGUGUCUUGGGUUUGCGUGUCAAGGUUUUGGUAGCUAUGGCUACCAGUGACAGAGUCUGCAGGGGUGGCUCCAUGAGGAGCUGCCAGGAUCUUCUCCCUUACCUGCCAUGCCAGCCAGCUUCAAGAUGGACCCACUCCUGGCCAACCCCAAGCCCAUCAGCCAUGGUGGUAGCACCUCUGGGAUAACAAAUUUGAGAAGAAAAACUGCAGCAGCAACUGCAGGCAGAGAGAGGAACGAGAAUAUGUGAAAGAAACAACCCUGACACAAGAGUUGUGGAAAAGGAGGUGGAGGAGAUGCUCCAGGUGUCAGAGCUGAGCUUCUCCAGCAGCCUGUGGUGACCGGCUGUCCCCCUACAGUCCAUGGAGCUCCAUGGUGAAACAGCCCUUGGAGGACCCCAGGUCAGAGCAAGGGGAUGCCCAGAGGAGGCUGUGACCCCAUAGGAAGCCCAUGCUGGGGGAGGUUCCUGGCAGGACCCGUGGCUCCAUGGAGAAAGGAGCCGACCCUGGAUUAGGUUUGCUGCUAGGACUUGUGACCCCGUAGGGGACCCAUGCUGGAGCAGGGGAAGAGUGUGAGGAGUUGUCCCCCUGAGAAGGAAGAAGCAGCAGAAGCAAUGUGUAACGAGUUGACCACAACCCCCAUUACCUAUCCCACUCUGCCACUGGGGCAGCAGUAGAUUAGAAAAUUCAGAGAUGAAGCUGACGUGAGGAUGAAGGGAGGGAUGGGGAAGAGGUGAUAACAGAUUCAGGUUCUAUUUAUCAUUAUCCUGCUCUGGUUUGAUUGGUAAUCAAUUAAAAUUAUUUCCCAAGUCAAGUCUGUUUUGCCUGUGUCAGUAACUGCUGAGAGAUCUCUCCCCACAUCUUGACCCAUGUGUGUUUCAUUAUAUUUUCUGAGGGGAGGAUAGAGCAGCUUUGGUGGGCUCCUGGUAUCCAGCCUGGGUCAACUUCACACGCUAGGCUGCGUGUGAGUAAUAAUUUUCUAUUUAGCACUUAGAUAGGGCAGUCAUUGUUUGAUCCACAUUUAGAUGAUUGCUGCAGCAGCUGUCUAAGCAAUAUAUGCUGCUUUCACAAUGUGGAACAACAUCAAUAGAACAAUCUACAGUAAGGUAUAGAAACAGAUGAAACAAUAUUAACAGGAAUAUAUGAAUUUUCUCGGAUUUUUAAGUAUCUGAACAAAUACCAGAGCAUCUAUAUUUCAGUCAAAAUUUAUACAUAGGCAUAUUGCAUAUGCAUCUAUACAUAUGAAAUCCAUCCAUGAGAUCAUAAAUACUCAGUAAAGCAUAUUUAUAACCACUCUUGCUAGCUCAAUGAAUGCUAAACUUUGAGAAGUAAAUAGAGUAUGUUACAAAACUAAUAUCUUAGUAGCAGGGAAUUGAUACCAAAUGUAUUCUUCAUUUUUUUCCAUGCUUCUCAGCUGUGUAACAGAAGAAAGAUGGGAAAAUUUUCCUAAAGGCAAGAGUUAUACACAAAAUUGCAAAUAACAUCUUUAGCAACUUACAGCUGGGUAAUAAGUAGAGAAACAGCAUUUUUUCUUAUUGAGGUAUUAUGGGAAAGUUCAGUUCUUUUGUACAACUACAGAGUGGCUUCCUUAGAGAAGAAAUUAAUUCAAACAUACUUGGCACAGUUUUAAACAAUCACUACUUCUGCAAGCUGCACCAAGAAAAACCUCUGAGUAAAGCACUGCAUAGAUAUGUAACGCAUGAACACUCUAUUAAAGCCAUCAAAAAUGUGCCACUUCUAGUAAGCUCCUGGAACUGUUUCUCUACUAGCAUAUGAUUUCUUUGAUCAAAAGAACAGUGCUGUGGAAGGAGACUGGGUACUAUUACAGGAUAAGUAAUAAUUCAGGGGAUGCCCUAAGAACCUGCACCACGGGCAGUUAUGUAGCUGGCGUUUGGUUGUUCUGAAAAAGUCUGCACUCCUGUAGAUAAUGAAAGCAAAUCAAGUACUGCUGCAAUCUUGCAGACCUUCAUUCCCUCUCCAGGGACUCUCCUGGAGCACGUAAAAUUGGGAUAAAUAUCUGAUUUUCCAGAUAGAGGUAUUUCUC